rnacentral:lncRNA from 1 species
ACAACAGUUUGAGCGGCUCGAAAUUCCCAAGCCCGGGGGCCAAGACGAGGGAAAUGGCUUAUACUCUUAAAAUAAGUAACCUAGUCUAUCUAUGUGCAUAUACAAACUUUGAAGGCAAUUUAUCAAGGUUCAUGGUUUUAGGGACUUGUACAUUCCAACGAGCCCGUGUGCACACUGAGAACUUUUUAGUGUUAGGUAUCGUGAACAGACAAGGGGAUGACACUUCUUGAAGAAAAAUAAGCUACAGA